AUGCCAACGACCCCGCGUAAAGGCGUUAGUUAUUUCGGUUCUAAAGAUGGAGCACAAAAAAAGCUUGUGUUGCACGUCUCGGCCAAUAUAUCAUGGAGUGGAUUCCUCGUGCCAAUCCCAUCAGGCUGGGUGUGUAGCUAUCUUAAUGCAGACAAUCUCACCACAGAGCAAAUUAUCAGAGGGGAAUCGCCUCUGAAGGGAGCGUUGCAGCCGCCGGAUAGACCAUGGCAGCCGCCACCUCUUGGCUGGCUUGCCUCGUCAGUGGAUGGUUCUUUACUUAGCGGAAGAGCGCUCGGCGGUAGCAGGCAUGAUCCUAUAACUUGGGCUCUGUCAUUUUUUUCAUCAUGUCAACUAUUGUUCUACUGUAACAAUGCCCUUAGGGCGGAAAUUCAAGCUAUCAAGAUAGGAAUGUCUAUGGCUAUUGAAUGGUCUAACCUUCCGGUCUUAGUACAGUCGGACUCGCUGGUGACCCUUUCUUCUAUGAUUUUUGCCCCACUUGAUAAAUCACCCAAUGGUCAAUUGGCCAGGGAUAUCAAGAACUACAUGCUGCAGAGGGAGUUUAAACCUAUGAAGAUCCUGAGAUCACAGAACAUGGUCUCACAUUGUCUUGCUAAUUAUGCUCGAACGGCUCGUAGCACCGCUUGUUGGUUGCAACGGUCACCCCCCUUCAUUCAUAAUCUUGUAUUAGCGGACUGUAACUUACAUGUUACUUUGGAAUAA
rnacentral:rRNA from 1 species